rnacentral:tmRNA from 1 species
GGGGGCGUAAAGGUUUCGACGGGGAUGUUUUAGGGAUAUAGGUUGCGUACCGAGGAGCUGCCAGGCCUCGUAAAAAGGCAGAGCUUUAUAAUUGCCGAUGAUUACAACGAAUUGGCUCUCGCAGCUUAGUUAGCUGCGCAUCCUGGUAGUUCUUUGCCUGUGAGACUAUUAUAGGGUGUAAAUUAGCAGGCUGGCUAAUCCUUGGAUCUUGCUUAGGCAGGGGUUAGUAAGACAAAACAAGCUGGCAUCUUUAGGAUUCUGCCUGUGGAAGCUUGAAGAUGUGAGAUUAAAACACAGGAUAUGUGCGUAGUAGCCUUAUCUUUAAGUCUUCGGACGUGGGUUCGAUUCCCACCGCCUCCACCA